rnacentral:rRNA from 1 species
UACGAAGGGGGCUAGCGUUGCUCGGAAUCACUGGGCGUAAAGGGUGCGUAGGCGGGUCUUUAAGUCAGGGGUGAAAUCCUGGAGCUCAACUCCAGAACUGCCUUUGAUACUGAGGGUCUUGAGUUCGGGAGAGGUGAGUGGAACUGCGAGUGUAGAGGUGAAAUUCGUAGAUAUUCGCAAGAACACCAGUGGCGAAGGCGGCUCACUGGCCCGAUACUGACGCUGAGGUGCGAAAGCGUGGGGAGCGAACAGG